UACGUAGGGACCAAGCGUUGUUCGGAUUUACUGGGCGUAAAGGGCGCGUAGGCGGCGCGGUAAGUCACUUGUGAAAAUCUCUGAGCUUAACUCAGAACGGCCAAGUGAUACUGCAGUGCUAGAGUGCGGAAGGGGCAAUCGGAAUUCUUGGUGUAGAGGUGGAAUUCGUAGAUAUUAGGAAGAACACCAGUGGCGAAAGGCGGCUUACUGGUCCGGUACUGGACGCUG
rnacentral:rRNA from 1 species